GAUGAACGCUGGCGGCGUGCCUAAUACAUGCAAGUCGAACGCUUGGUCGCGACGCUUUGCUUUCUGAUGUUUGCGGCGGGCGGGGGAGUAACACGUGGUUACACUUCCUUAAACUAUGGGUUAAAUGCGGGUAACCCGUGCUAACACGGGCUAAUAUCUCGUACCGCAUUGUUCCGCAGUGAAUGAUGGUGUAACUGUCAUUCAUAUGUGGCUCAGCGCUGCAUUAGCUAGUUGGUAAGGUAACGGCUUACCAAGGCAACGAUGCAUAGCCGACCUGAGAGGGUGAUCGGCCACACUGGAACUGAGACACGGUCCAGACUCCUACGGGAGGCAGCAGUAGGGAAUCUUCCGCAAUGGGCGAAAGCCUGACGGAGCAACGCCGCGUGAGUGAUGAAGGUUUUCGGAUCGUAAAACUCUGUUAUUAGGGAAGAACAUAUGUGUAAGUAACUGAGCACAUCUUGACGGUACCUAAUCAGAAAGCCACGGCUAACUACGUG
rnacentral:rRNA from 1 species